rnacentral:rRNA from 1 species
GACGUAGGGCGCGAGCGUUGUCCGGAUUUAUUGGGCGUAAAGAGCUCGUAGGCGGCUUGUUGCGUCGACUGUGAAAACCCGCGGCUUAACCGCGGGCUUGCAGUUGAUACGGGCAGGCUAGAGUUCGGUAGGGGAGACUGGAAUUCCUGGUGUAGCGGUGAAAUGCGUAGAUAUCGAGAGGAACACCUGCGGCGAAGGCGGGUUGCUGGGCUGACACUGACGCUGAGGCGCGAAAGCUAGGGGAGCGAACGGG